CUGAAAAGAAUCCAUUUUGGUAAUAAAUCACAGCAGUGGAGUCCCAUGUCCAGUGCUAGUGGAAGCUGUGGUAUUUGCUUGUCAGUGGACAGAAGAGCAGUACUCCUCCUGGGAUGAAUCAACUCUGAGAUCACUUCUCAAUCCUGUGCAGAAGUGGAAAGACAGCAGAAGAGAAUUAACUGUUCAGCUCCCUGCUAGAGUACUGAGGAAAGCAGUGGAAGAUGGCCCUAAUCUUUGGGACCCUGCACCCACAGGCGAGACUUGCAAGGAGUUCCAGGCUCCUGGCUUCAUCCUGACCCAGUCCAGGGCCACUGUGGUCAUCUGGGGAGUAAGCCAACGGAUGGAAGAUCUAUUUCUUUCUCUCUCUAACUCUGCCUUUCAAGUAAAUAAAUCUUUAGGAGGAAAAAAAAAAAAUCCAGUGCACUGCAGUUACUGUUAAUAUUUUCAAAACAUACUCAGAAUCCAACCACCUCUCACUUCCACCGUUACUCCUUUGUAACAAGCCAUCAUCAUUGUAUGUUUUACCUGGUCUGGAUUUCUGACUACUUAUUUCUGCCAUUGUAAAGGUUAAAACAGAUUAUAUCAGUCCUCUGCCUAAAACCCUCUUAUGGCUUCCAUUCCCACUCAGAAAGACCCAGCCUUCACAAUGAAUGCCCUGUAUAAUCCGGUAUAUUCUGCCCACCCUUCAUGGCUCCCUUGCCCCCCUCAUCUCUUGCUUCUCUCCUAUUCACUCUCCUCAGGUUAUCUGAGAAGUGUCUCCCCAGAAUCCCUAGCACUUUCUAGAGUGCCUCUCCUUCAGUUUUCUAUUCAAAUGUCACUUACCUCUUGUCUUACCACUCCCUAUAAAUCAGUACCCACCCCAUCCACCUUACUUACCCUGCCUUAACAUUUAUCCAUGUCACUCAUUCAGCACUAACACAAUUACUAAUAUAAGUGCUGUUAAAUAAAUGUUAAGAUUUGUUACAUUUACUGUUGUACCCCCCGCUCCCAGAAAAGUGACAGCCAUGUGGUAAGCUCUUAAGUAUUACUGAAUGAAUAUAUUUCUAGCAUUCUUAAAUAAUUGAGUAUUACACGAUUCUUAAAUAUCUGACUUUAGUUUAUCCUAACCUCAACCUAACCUUUGAUAAGAGUCAACAAGCGCAUUUAACUCAA